UACGGGGGGGGCAAGCGUUGUUCGGAAUUACUGGGCGUAAAGGGCUCGUAGGCGGCCAACUAAGUCAGACGUGAAAUCCCCCGGCUUAACCAGGGAACUGCGUCUGAUACUGGAUGGCUUGAGUUUGGGAGAGGGAUGCGGAAUUCCAGGUGUAGCGGUGAAAUGCGUAGAUAUCUGGAGGAACACCGGUGGCGAAGGCGGGUCUCUGGGCCGAAACUGACGCUGAGGAGCGAAAGCGUGGGGAGCGAACAGG
rnacentral:rRNA from 1 species